UGUCACCCCUGAACAAACCCAUUAGAUCCCAUUUUUUAAAUGACACAUCAUUUCUGCAUGUGUUUCAUAUAUUAUACACUUGACAUUGUUUUUACAGCCGUUUUUUUUUUUCAUGCCUACACAACGGCUGGCAUGCAAGAGUUUCAAAUCCCACAUUUUGACGCACCUCGCAUUUAAACAUGCAAAUAAAUCAGUGAAUCACAUGCGCUUUGCUUUCAGAAGAGACGUUUCUUUAGUGCCUUCCCAUAGAAAGAAAGCUUUGUGGUUGAUUUGUACUUUUUGGAUUCUAAAGUACUCCCAACUCACAAAAUAGCUUCCACCCACUGACUUUUUUAAAGUUUCAAGAAAUACUUGUGUAUUUUUUUUUUGAGAUGUUAACAGAUGUGUGUGUGUUGAGCAUCAGUUAAGACAACAUUAGCACCAAUUAGCUUUAAUUGUGAGGAAAACUGGGUAAUUUGAAGCUUUUGUCAGUGUAACAGGUAUUAAAUUUAUUUAUGUUUUCGUUAUAAAUUCACGCAAAAUCUUUGUUUUGUUGGUCAUUAAUAUGUAAGAAAUAAAGAGAAAAUGUUUUAUUUUUGUUUUGACGUGUCGGCGCGAUGACGUCAUUGACGUGCGUUGCCGCGGUGACGUCAGUGACAUAGCGCGCGCUUUGCUUCAGUCUGUCGGAGGACAGAGCAGAGCGAGCAGUAGCAGGCGUAAGAGGAGUUUUAAGAGAAGACUAACUGCAUGUUCUCUGUUUGUGCAGCACUUAAAUAAAUGAGACCGCUGAACCUGCAGACAGACUCCAGCUCUUUACACAACACAACACAAUGCAGAGUGGUAGUCGAGCCGUUAAGACCGGCCCCGGCUACAUCAGCUAGUUUAAGCUUCCGGGUUUUAAAUGAUUUUUGGGGUGGAUCAAAAUCCGCGACAUAGCAAAGAACUGCAAGUGCAAAGAUGAUGCGUUGGUUUUUCAUUAUUAUUCAUAGCGGAGUUUUCUUAUCCUAUGAGAAGAGCCGGCUUCUUAAUUAUUCAUGACUGUGGUGCUUUCCGAAGUCAAGACUGACCUUGCCAGGGCCAAGCUGUGAGGCCCUACGCUGAGGACUGGGUGAGACGAGUCCACGGACCAACAGCACACAGUAUUUAGCCGUUCAUGAAGGAUCAUAUGUUUGUUUC